GGGAUUAAAGGGAGCGUAGGUGGAAGAGCAAGUCAGCCUGUGAAAGUUUGCGGCGCAACGGGAAAAUUGCAGUUGAUACUGGUUUUCUUGAGUGCAGUAGAGGUGGGCGGAAUUCGUGGUGUAGCGGUGAAAUGCUUAGAUAUCACGAAGAACUCCGAUUGCGAAGGCAGCUCACUGGACUGUAACUGACACUGAUGCUCGAAAGUGUGGGUAGCAA
rnacentral:rRNA from 1 species